rnacentral:tRNA from 2 species
GUCGGAGUGGCCUAGUCUGGUUAGGGCGUCGGACUCAUAAUCCGGAGGUCGGGGGUUCGGAUCCCCCCUCCGACA